GGAUUACCUCAGUAACGGCGAGUGAAGCGGUAACAGCUCAAAUUUGAAAUCUGGCUCUUUCAGGGUCCGAGUUGUAAUUUGUAGAAGAUGCUUUGGGUGUGGCCCUGGUCUAAGUUCCUUGGAACAGGACGUCAUAGAGGGUGAGAAUCCCGUAUGUGACUAGGUGCUUUCGCCCGUGUAAAGCUCUUUCGACGAGUCGAGUUGUUUGGGAAUGCAGCUCAAAAUGGGUGGUAAAUUUCAUCUAAAGCUAAAUAUUGGCCAGAGACCGAUAGCGCACAAGUAGAGUGAUCGAAAGAUGAAAAGCACUUUGGAAAGAGAGUUAAACAGUACGUGAAAUUGUUGAAAGGGAAGCGCUUGCAACCAGACUUAGUUGCUGCCGAUCAUCUAGGGUUUUCCCUGGUGCACUCGGUAGUAUCUAGGCCAGCAUCGGUUUGGGUGGUGGGAUAAAGGCCUUGGGAAUGUAGCUCCUUUCGGGGAGUGUUAUAGCCCUCGGUGCAAUGCCGCCUACCCGGACCGAGGACCGCGCUUCGGCUAGGAUGCUGGCGUAAUGGUUGUAAGCGACCCGUCUUGAAACACGGACCAAGGAGUCUAACAUCUAUGCGAGUAUUUGGGUGUUAAACCCAUAUGCGUAAUGAAAGUGAACGGAGGUGAGAACCCUUAAGGGUGCAUCAUCGACCGAUCCUGAUGUCUUCGGAUGGAUUUGAGUAAGAGCAUAGCUGUUGGGACCCGAAAGAUGGUGAACUAUGCCUAAAUAGGGUGAAGCCAGAGGAAACUCUGGUGGAGGCUCGCAGCGGUUCUGACGUGCAAAUCGAUCGUCAAAUUUGGGUAUAGGGGCGAAAGACUAAUCGAACCAUCUA
rnacentral:rRNA from 1 species